rnacentral:lncRNA from 1 species
ACUUUGUUACCUUCUCCCUUUGGAUACAGGCAGGCUCAAGUGGUGUUCUAUGUUCUUGUGGCUCAGAGCCACUGGUGGAGGAUACGGGAGAAACCUUCAUCACCUCAUCUUCUCAGGGCCUACUGCAAGCCAGCGUCUCCCCUCCUUCCUCUCUGCUUCAAGAUCCAUGACGGGCAGGAGGAGCGGCACCAGCCAGGCAGCCCAGCAUCAGGAAGGCUCUAGGCAUCCCUCAGCCCACAGGCGCCCGGCACGUGUUUUCCAUGUCAAGAUGCCCAAGAGGAAGGUGAGCUCAACUGAAGGGAUGGGGAAGGAAGAGCCCAAGCGGAGACUGGUGCGUUGUCAACUAAACUUGCUCUUGCAAAAGCGGAAAAAAGGCCAAAAAAGGCAGAGGGAAGGAUGA